GUAAGUACUUUGCACAAACAGUCUUACCUGGAGACUAUGUAAAAUGUAAACCGUCAACUUCUCUAGUUAGGUAAGAAUAGAGGAGUGAAGGCCUGUAGCUCUUUGCAUUUACUCCUGACUUUCCUAGAAUCUCUAUAGUUAUAUCAAAAUAAUACCUUGCACAUUUCAUUAAACUUAUGAAAAUUACUAGUCACAAGUAUUGAAGUUCAUACCACUUUUAAUUAAGAUUGCUUGAUUUUCUGAGUCUUUUUGUUGCUGGAGUUGCACUUAUUGCCAAUUUUUACUGCUCUGAAAGUUGGAUAGACGGUUUGUUUUGGUCAGCCUCCACGGGAAGUUUAACAAUCAGGCACAAUCAAACGCAAACCCUUCUUCUACUUAAGAAAGGUUGGCCGGGCAACGGGAUUGAGCCAUUCUCACGAGGCCACAGAAAAUAAGCACGUGGUGAUAGACACAUUCAUACAUGAGAAAGACGAGCCUUUCCCAUCAGUCUCACGCUCAUUUGAUGAAGAAACACAAAGCAUUCUGCAUGCAUUGUUUCCUCAAUGCUCAAAGACACAAAGCCUCAUCAAACCCUCCCCAUUAAGUCACCAGUGGCUGCAUGGCAAGAAUUUGGAUGGAUAUUACUUUCUGGUUGCUAGGCCCACCCCCACACAGUUUCAUUUGUUUCUCCGAGGAGUUUUGUUCCUGGUGUAUGUCUUUUGUUGGGAUUCUUGAUGAGUAUCUGUAAUUUUGGUCACACUUACAAGACCCUGGGUUAUUGCUAUAGUGUUGUAACAAUAGAAACUAAUAGUCAUCUCAAUCCUACUCCCAGAAUGCUAAGGGCAGUGUGUCUGUUGGAUGCAUGGGAGUCUUUCUUCAAUCCAUACCCUUGGAAGUGAAUUGGCUACAGCUCAUCAAAAGAUGCCUUGUUAAGAAAAUAACAACUUCUUCCCAUGCCCACAGCAGUGUUUCCAUAAAACUCCGAUCUCACAGUUCUGUGCUGCAGCAGGAAAUCUUGUACUUGCUUCAAAAAGGACAGGAAAAAUACCAAAACCAAAACCAAAACCAAAACCAACAAUAAAAACAAGCAAGAAUAAUGUCUGAAACUCACAGCCCUGCCAUCUCCAGAUUUGUUUGCAUACCCAUUCAACUUACGUGUCCAGGUUUUUCUUAGGAGAGAAGAGUUCUUCCUCCUCUACAAGCUGAAUUUUAUUUCUGCUUGAUUUUUUUGGAUCUGUUUUUAUGCUUGCCAAUAUACUUAAAGUGUUUACAGAUUAAAAAUAAUGUUUAUUUAUAUAUAUAUGUUAAUAUUGGUACGUAGGUGCAUGCAGGAGGCAAGCAACAGAAGAGAUUGUCAGACUUUCUGGGACUGGAGUGAUAGUGAUUUGAUGUCUUUUAUGGGUUCUGAGAACUGACUGAAGAUGCUCUGCAAGAGAAGUACAUACAAGACUAGCGCAUUUUUAACCUUCCACGAGGCGUCUUUCUCUACUAAAUGUUUCACUGUCCCACUGGGCAAGGGCUGAAAAAGAAGCAUGCAAGAAACUAAGGAGAGGGAGUUGAGGAGUAUUUUGACAUCAUCCUUUCUGAAUCAUUUUUCAGUCCUGGAGUCUGAGCAGGGUCUUGCAAACCCAGCAAACAUUUUGAAGAAUUAAUUUUUGUUCUAAAUCUCCAUCAAUUUCUACUCCUCAGGAACGCCCCUUUUCUUCAUCUGUCUAAUGGAACUUUACCCUUAAUUCAAAGACGUCCUGUCACGGCGCUCCAAUCUGUCCUUUUCUUUAGUUUUAUCUGAUUGAUUUUUUUUUCUUGUUUCAUCCCAAAAGGACGACUUGACUGGGUAGGUAGGUGACAGAGAUGCUGCUUUGGGCUCUAUAGGAGAAGAGAAUGAAACCGUGAGCACGGGAUGCAUGAACAUGCAAAGAAUGUUAAAGCAUUGAGAUGGUGCCUAAGCAGAAAGGUUGUCCACACUGCAACCACAAAAACAGAAGGGAGAGAAAAGAAAAAGUGGGAUUUGGGAGGACAGCAGUACAGUGUCUAGCAAACAGACACAUUGUACGUCCUUUAAGAGGUGUUUUUUUUUUUUUUUUA
ensembl:lncRNA